AGUUGACUCAGGACAAAUGAGCUUCCUGGAAUGCAAAACUUUUAUUUUUAAAAUUGAGACAAAUAGAGCAAACUAGGAUGAGCUGGUCACCCUGCAAAUGAGACAUGACAACUAAAUGCAAGAGAGGAUCCUGGAUGGCACCAGGAUUUCCAUUAUGCAUAUAAUGGUACACUUCACAGUGUCCCACAGGUCUCUUAAGAUGCUAGAGAAGUAUAGCCAAGAAAGAAAAGAGUAAUGAGACUUAUCUCCAUAUCCUCCCAUCGGUUUCUCAACUAGAUCUGAAAAAUGCUACAGGCAGCCAUACGAAGAGCACCGGAAUGCAAAGGCCCACACCUAACCCAUCAGCAAAUCCUGGUGACUCUCUCCUUAAUAUAACUCCUAUCUCCACUGCCACCCUGCACUUGGACGGCUAU